CUUCUGUUGGUGUCAUUUUCAAUUCUAUUUCCAGUGCCACAAUAGAGUGAUAUUUAAGCAACUCCUACAGGCGAAGGCCCUGCAGUUCCUCCAGAUUGACAGUUGCAGACUGGGCAGUGUCAAUGAGAACCUCUCAGUAUUGCUGAUGGCCAAAAAGUUUGAAAUUCCUGUUUGCCCCCAUGCUGGUGGAGUUGGCCUCUGUGAACUGGUGCAGCACCUGAUUAUAUUUGACUACAUAUCAGUCUCUGCAAGCCUUGAAAACAGGAUGUGUGAGUAUGUUGACCACCUGCACGAGCAUUUCAAGUAUCCCGUGAUGAUCCAGCGGGCUUCCUACAUGCCUCCCAAGGAUCCCGGCUACUCAACAGAAAUGAAGGAGGAAUCUGUAAAGAAACACCAGUAUCCAGAUGGUGAAGUUUGGAAGAAACUCCUUGCUGCUCAAGAAAAUUAAGUGCUCAGCCCCAACAUCUUUUUUCUUUGUGAAGUGAAAAGGCUUAAAAUUUCUUGGAAAUAGUUUUACAAAAAUGGAUUUAAAAAAAUCCUGUGGAUCAAGAUUAGUUCAGCUAAAAGUCAUACCACCCUCAGGAAUCAGCUAAGUAAUUAUUACUUGAUUCUUUUAGCAAAUCAAUACACAUUAUCCUACUUAAUCCUUAAAUAAGUUUAGAUUUAACUAACCCAAAGUCCAGGAGGAUGUUCUUACAAAAUAUCUAUCAAGGGCUGGCACCUAGACAUUAAACUGUACUUUGAAAAUAA
rnacentral:sRNA from 1 species